CUGUGCUGUGGGAGGUAAAGAAACCCUUUUCCAUUGAGGAUGUGGAGGUUGCACCUCCUAAGGCUUAUGAAGUUCGCAUUAAGGUGAAAUAUUUUUCCAUUUAUAUUUCAUUUUACAUUUAAAAAACUCAGAGAACAUUAAAAGUGGAAACAUCCAAAAAUCCACUAAGAGGCAUAUCUUAUAUGAUCACCCAGAAGAUAAAAUUACAUUUGUUGUCAAGGAAAGGUAUAAAUAUAAAUUUUAAAUUUUUAAAAAGUGAUCAAAGAGUACAUACAGUAUAAUUCCAGUAAAAUACAAAAGAAUUUAUGUUUGUACAGAAAAAAAUUCCAAAGGAUAUGUAUCGACUUCAAAAUCAAUUAAUAUUAGAUAUUUUCCAUGUGUUACUUUGCUAUUUCUACUUCUAUUUUUUAAAGCAUGCAUUCUUACAUAAGACUUAAAUAUUUCAGAAUCAAUUAUUUCACAGAUUAUUCUAAAUUGUUUAAUUCAAGAAGGGAAGGUAGAGAAGGGUUUUAGACUGAAUAACCUUGGGGAUAAACUGAAUCUUUCAUAUUUAGGAAUAGUAGGGAUUAGUAGCAAAACCCUCAAAUACAUUUUAGAAACACAAUUUCAGGAAUUUGGGUAUGUUAAAUUCAUCUAGUUACAAUCUUUUCUGAAUCUGAACAGCUUCUCUUUAUUCUGUAGAUGGUGGCUGUAGGAAUCUGUCGCACAGAUGACCACGUGGUUAGUGGCAACCUGGUGACCCCUCUUCCUGCGAUUUUAGGCCAUGAGGCAGCCGGCAUCGUGGAGAGUGUUGGAGAAGGGGUGACUACAGUCAAACCAGGUACAGGAUUCACACUCAGGGAACACGUGUGGUUCACCAUCCAGGAUUUCCCAGCCUGGAUAAGGAAACCAAGGCAAUGAGAGACGAAAGGGCUUGCACAAGGUCACCGCGCAGCCAGGACUUCAGGAGUUUCCUCUUUCCCUCUCUGCCUGCCUGACUCAAGCAUGUAUGCAUUCAGGCACUCAUGUAUUGUACCCUUCAACCAUUAUGUACUGAGUAUCUACUAGACGCCAGGCAGCAGGUUAGAGCCUGGAGAUAUGUGAGGAUCAAAAGAGACACAGUGCCUACCACUGUGGCAUUCAUAGUCCAGUAAUUCUGUGUUAGUGUUGGCUGAACACUGUCUUCUGUCAGGGUCCAGAUAGAAGCAGAAACGGGAGGAGGGAAAAAAAGUAAAUGUGGAAACUGUUCUGUGCUGAGUUCACAAAAUGGAGGCUACAUGGCUACGGAUGAAUAAACAUGACCUUUUCUUAGGUGACCUAUGCAGCUCCUUCACCAAUUUCCUCUUCCAACAAGGUCUCUCUUCCUGAGCAUGGAAUCAAUGAAACAGGCUAGGUGAAAGGAAAUGAAAGAAACGUAGAAGGAACCAUCCCGCCAUCAACAAUGUCUGCCUUGUUACCUUCAGCCAUGCUUAAAUGCAACUGGUUACAGAUUACUAAUUAUUUCAUCUUCAAUAUUUAUUUUACCCUAAACUUAUGUAUUAAUGUAAAUACUUUUAGAAGUAAAGGGUUAAUAACUAGGACAUUGCCAUACCAUCAUUUUCACAUAAACUUUACCUAUAAAAUGUUAAUGCACCAACCAUUUUUCUUGAUCAUGUGGAAUGUAUAGCAUAGGUGAUUAAAAAUAAAAAUUAUGUUUAAUUUUAAAAAGUUGCUUUAGCCUGUAGAUUCACCCUGCCCCCUUACCAAAUACCAAUUUAAACUGUGAACAGAAAAUAAUAAACUAUCCAAAGUAUGUUUUAGCUCUAUUUUCUUUAGUUAGAAAUAAAUUAACAACAAAAUGACAGCCUUACUUUUUACCCCUACUCCCUCCACCAUAACAGGAAAAGUAGAUAAUUCACAAAUUAUCAGCUAAAAAUAUUUGUUAAGUCCAUUCUUAUCCUAAAAGAAAGUGCCUAACUUGUUGUGAAGUGCUGAAGUUUUCAGAGAAAUUUCUGGAAUUCUUCUUUGUCCCAUUUUUGUUUUUCUCAAAAAAAAAAAAAAAAACCUAGGAUUUUUUAAAGCAUUCAUUUCAUAAAAAAGAUAAGCAUAGUCACUUUGAAAAGUCAAGAAUUGGUUAAAAAUUAUCAUAUUUAUUGUAAAUCAAUCUUUUACAAAAUACCAGAUCUUCCCAAUAUCUACAGGCACUAUAAUAGAUCACUUUCAACUAAAAUUUAUAUUUAUAUUUAUAGUAAGAAUAUUUAAGAUUUAAUUAGUUAAAGUUUAAAUAAAAAGAUGUUUGCAAAGCCUCCAGGAGAAAUCAGUACACUGUGUAAAAGUUAACUAUUAGUACAGUGGAAGUAAUUUUUUUAAUCUGUGUGGUCUCCCACAUUUGUGUUUUCUCAGUAGGAAUCCUCAGGCACUUAUAAAUUCAAACUGAAAACAAUGCUGUGGCAGGCAUUGAAAAAUGACAUAGUUAUUAUUGAACUCUAUUCCUUAAAGACUUUUAAAGAAACAUGCUUCUAAUCAAUACAUGUGAGCUUUAAGUUUUCGCUCUAUUAAUUACUGCAUAGAAAUUUAAGAAGAACUUGUUUUAUUCCUCUCCAGGUGAUAAAGUCAUCCCGCUCUUUACUCCUCAGUGUGGAAAAUGCAGAGUUUGUAAAAACCCGGAGAGCAACUACUGCUUGAAAAAUGAGUAGGUUUCUGAUGCUCUCUUUGCACAGACUUUGAGUUUGCACAUUACUUAUGCUCCUGUCUCAUGCCUUUGUGUGUCUGUGUAUUGCACUGCCCAGUCUAGGCAAUCCUCGGGGGACCCUGCAGGAUGGCACCAGGAGGUUCACCUGCAGGGGGAAGCCCAUUCACCACUUCCUUGGCACCAGCACCUUCUCCCAGUACACGGUGGUGGAUGAGAAUGCAGUGGCCAAAAUUGAUGCAGCCUCGCCCCUGGAGAAAGUCUGCCUUAUUGGCUGUGGAUUCUCGACUGGUUAUGGGUCUGCAGUUAACGUUGCCAAGGUGAGAAUGACAAUGGAUGAUAAAACUGCUUACAUGCAGACUGUCAGAAACCAAAAGGGAAGCAAUUUCUUGCAAGACUCAGAAAUUAUUUUUGUAGAUUUAAAGUGUUGAUUAUGAGUAGAAAAAUGGCCCAGAAAGAAUUGACUACACAUGCUAGAAAUUUCACCAAUUUAUUGCAGAUAAAAACUUGUUGAGUUAAGAAAAUGUAAAGAUGUCAUUUACAAUAAUUUUUCUUCUGAAUUUGCUGUUUAUGGGAUCAUGAAAUUUUAGACCUAAGAAUUCAUUUAGUAAUUCAUUCAACAAUUAGAGAGCACCUAUAAAUGCCUCAGGCACCAUAGGUUCUGCUAGGCUCUGACAGCAAAAGUAAAUGAAAUGAAGCGUUUGCCCUUGAGGAGCAGCUAGUCUGUGGAUCCUCUACUCCCAGAAAUAGGAUCAACAGUAGAGUCCAAAACCUUACCUGAUGCACCUCCAAACCAAGGCUCACCCACUCUGUGGAUUCUUAGACGGAAAGUAAUAAAGACUCAGUGAUGCAUAAUUCACUCAUUAUGGGAUUUCACUGCUAAAACUAACUCCCCUGGCAUGAACACACACAUAUACUUCAGAAGUGGUAAAUUUCAAGCAGAAAUUCUUUAAAAGCUCCUCAUCUGAGUAGGCUGAAAAUCUAGUAGUAUGCUUUAUUUUAUGAAACCGAGGUUCAGAUAUAUAAAGAUAUUUGCCCAAAGCCUCAGUGCUGAGACUAAAAUAUAUUUUUAAUAUGAAAGCUGAGACUAAAAUAUCUUUUUCAAAUCUCCUGCUGAAUCUUAGCUUGCAAUACACAAUUAUUAGUGUUUUUAAAUCACAGUCACAAGUCUUGUGUUUUUCUAAGUAAGGUAGAAAAUGGUGUUGUCCCCCAUAGUAUGAAUAAUAUUUGGUGAAUGAAUGAGUGAAUAGACACCCUUAAGGGAAUAUAAGGAUGAGAUUACUUGGGACAGGAAAGCAUGUUACCCACAAUGAAGACUGACUAUGGGAGACUAGGUUUAAUAAAUAGCCCCUAGCCAACCACAAAGAAAAAAUUCAGAAGGCAUCUUUUCCAAAUUUCUGUGACUUUAGCACUUAGCUCCUUGUUCAGUUGCCUCAUACGUGUUAGCAGAUGGUCAAAGUGAUCCUACCCAAGAACAGAAGAUGAGGAUACUCAUAACAAUAGAUUGUAUUUGUUAUUGAAAUAUAGACAAACAUUUCAUUGCUGUGUUGUUCGCUAGUGUAUUUUUAAAGCAGGGAUAUACUGGUCACAACUACCGAACAUAAAUGAACCAAUGAGUUAAUUACUGAGGGUUUAAGUGGAAUAUUUUUCAGUCUCCUGGAGUAGCCUUUUCCACUUAUUUUGUUUUCCAAAUAUUGCCGUUGUGUAUGUAUGAGUUACUGAAGCUGGCUAUCAAGGGAUUUCAGCAAUUGACAGUCCCUUCAAGAUUGUAAUCACUGCCAUCUGGAUCUCAAAGAUCAUCCAGUCCCCUGGUUCCCAGCCUGACCUUCCCAUUGGAGUCACCUGGGGACUAAGUUCCACCUGCAGAGCUUCUCAUUUAAUUGACAUGGGCUGUGACCUGGACUGUGGGAUAUUUUGUAAAGCUCCCCAGAUGAAUCUAAUAUGCAUCAGUUUGAAAACCACUCAACUAGUUCAUCCCCUUGAAUUUAAAAAUAAAGCAACUGAAGCCAAAAGAGGUUUUGAUAAACGGUUGGACAAAAGAGUCUGAGUAGUUCUUGAUAAACACCUACGCAUGGCACUUUAUAAAGCUUAGGCACUUUCUAACAAUCAUCACUUAAUCUAUUUUUGCAUUUUCUGAAAACACAGGUCACCCCAGGCUCUACCUGUGCUGUGUUUGGCCUGGGAGGGGUCGGCCUAUCUGCUGUUAUGGGCUGUAAAGCAGCUGGGGCAGCCAGAAUCAUUGCGGUGGACAUCAACAAGGACAAAUUUGCAAAGGCCAAAGAGUUGGGUGCCACUGAAUGCAUCAACCCUCAAGACUACAAGAAACCCAUCCAGGAGGUGCUAAAGGAAAUGACUGAUGGAGGUGUGGAUUUUUCGUUUGAAGUCAUCGGUCGGCUUGACACCAUGGUAUGUACCAUGACAUGCCCUGAGAUUUCUGCCUCUGCAACCUGGAAGAUGCAUUUAGGCAGCAAAAUAUAUGUUUUAUGUAUAAAGGAUAUUUUUAAUGAUGAAUGGAAAUUUCCCAUCAUCUGUUUGUUAUGUGGCUUGUUUAAUUUUUGUUAUGAGAAAUCUUCUCUUCCAUCAAUUACCCAAACCUGUCUCAAGUCAUAUUUCCUCUAGAGGAAAAGAAAAGGGUUUGUUUUUCUUAACUGAGCAAUUAUAGAUUUACUUUAUUAAUGUUUAGUUAAAAAAUAUAAGCUCAAGUAAACAUAAAUAAUACAAA
rnacentral:sRNA from 1 species